UUUUUUUUUUACCUUUUAGACAAAAGUUUUGAGUUGUGACAAGUUCUUGAGGUCUGAGUGAUUCAACAUUCUGGUCAGGUGUGGCAGAAAAGGACAAAGAUCAGACAGUGUGACCAGCACACAGACACUCCUUCAGCCAGUGACUGUUAAAAUCCAUCUUAAAAUGCAGCUUUUUUUUUCCAGCUGACAUGAUGCCAGAGAUGACAAGAAAAAGGCGAAAACGAGCUGCCAAGUGCUGGAUGCUGCGUUUCGGUUAAAAGAUUAAGCCCAGGUUCGUCACAUCUGGCUCAUCCAUCUGCGAAAUUUGUUUGGCUGCUGAGAUGUUGAUGAAGUCGUUGGUUUGAGUAACCAGAGAACGUCUGGUCAUGCUGAGCAAUCUUCUGGAGGAAGUUCAUUUGCCAUGUCUUAUUUCCAGAGGUGGACGUAUGCUAUAGACAAAGAAGACAUCUCCAUUUCAUCGAUGGCGAUCUCGAUGUCAAACGAUUUUGAGAUGAAAUCCUCACAUCCAUUGUUAUCCAGUUCAUUCGCCACCGUCAUUUGAUGUUUCACAAGGCAACAUGAACCUUCAUGUCUCCAGAUUUUGCUUUGUCCUUGUGUAAGGACAUGUCAAGCAUGUCUGGAGAAACCUCGAAGGCCAGGUUCAUCGCAUCUGGUUCGUUACACCUGGUUCGUCCAUCUGCCAAUUUUGUUUGCGUUCAGCUGCAGAGAUGUUGAAGUUGUUGGUUUGAGCAGCCAGAGAAUAUCUGCUUAACGUGAAGAAUCUUCUGAGGGAAGUUCGUUUGCCAUGUUCUUACUUAGACCUCAGUCUAAGAGCAGAAUGGCGUCCGAAUCAGGUCCAGUGGUCGACUACUCACAUUGGAUGGACGCUGGUAAGACAGAGGAUGGCCCCUUCCAUUUUUGAAUCUUAUUUUCAGCUGUCCAGAGGUAUGCUGCAGAAAAAGAUGUCUUCAUUUCAUCGAUGGCAAUCUCAAUCCCCAACGAUUUCAAGAUGAAAUCCUCACACCCGUUGUUCCCAUUGUUAUCCUGUUCAUUCGCCACCAUCUUGUCCUGUUUCACAAGACAACAUGAAUUUGUAUUGUCCUUGUCUAACAGCUGGAAACGUUUCUCCAGACAUGUCAAACAUCUGGAUGUCUGACAACAUGAUCCCAUUCCUCUGAAAUGUCCAACUUCACCCAGUCCUUCAGGAAGAGUGGGACAGCAUUUCUCAAGCAGCAUCGACCAUUUCAUCAACUCUCAGCGUUGUAAAUAUAUGGCGAUGCAAACUAUGGAGCCUCUCGUUACUGACGUGAGAUUUCUGGGCCGUAUAAAUUAUAAUUUCCAACACUCUUGGUCAUUUAAUGACGUCCACGUUGUAGAGAUGCUGUGUUGGAACAAUAAAUCCUAAUCCUCCAAUCUUUAAAAAAAAAAAGGAAGACACUUUCCUUCCUCAUAAAGCUUUUAGUAAUUAGAUUUUUGAAUCGUGCUGUUUACUGUGUUGCAGUUUGUUUCUCUACUGCCUUUUGUUGACGAGUUGAAGACUCGUGCAUCUUUGCCCAAGGACACACCUGUCCUCUCUGGCUCUAAACCAAACUCCACAGGGUUCCUUUAACAUCCAGCUUCUUUCUGAGUGAAACAGAGCAAAGCUCCACGUGUCAGUAAGUGGACCUUGAGUUUGUGUUUGUGUUGUACCAGCUGCUGUUUGGAAGGUCAUGGACAAGAAACCUUGAAGGUGCACCCUGAGCAAAGUCUAUCUGCUGAUGAAGACGGUGUAAAAGAACAGAACAGACAUUCUGUUGCAGGACUACUUGAAGAGCUUGUCACAGAAAAGCUGAAGAAGAGUGACUCCACAUGGAAACCAGAGGAUCUCAGAGGGUGAGCUGUGCUGCUGCAGAGAUAAACCUCCGUUAUCUCCCCUCACUGCUGCUGCAGAGGUCCUCGCUGGAGAUUAACCUGCUGCACGGAGCUGAGGAAGGUCUUCCAGGAGACAUCUCGCUCAGUUCCUCGGUGCAAAUGAAGUGCGGUUAAGCAGAUUUGGAGGCGUGUGAUCUCAGGAAGACUUGAAGAGGAACUGUGUGGAGGCUUUGAUGUGAAGAAACGGAUCAGAGCCGAAUCAGACGAGCGGCCCGGAGGGAAGCUCAGAGAAAAGACGGAAUAUUGAAGUUCUUUCAGAGCAACAGAAUGAACUUAUUAACCGACACAUGGGUCCAUGGAAUUUACAUGUUUUAUUCUUUUAUGAUGAAGCUUGUUUGUGAAGAAACUUGUACUUUAUUAUGAAGACUUUAGACUCAACAUCUUGGCUUGUUAAUAUCUAGUUUUGUUUAUGUUUUGGUACGUUAAUAUUCAAGUUUUUUUAUGCGUUUGUAUGUUAAUGUUCAGAUUUUUAUGUUUUGAUAUAACAAAAUCCAGGUUUUUGCUUUUUUAUUAGACUAACAUGCAGGUUUUAAAGUCUUGGUACAAUAAUGUCAAGGUUCUUGAUGUUUUUUAUGCUAAUAUCCAGGAUUUUCAUGUAUUGUUACAUUGCUAUCCAGGUUUUUUGAUGUUUUUGUAUGUUAAUAUUGAGAUUUUUAUGGUUUGGUACUUUAAUAUCGAAGUUUAUGGUGUUCUAAUCUGGUAAUAUCCAGGUGUUAAAGUCCUGGGACAAGAAUAUCAGGGUUCUUCAUGCUUUGUUAUGCUAAUAGCCAGGAUUUUCAUGUAUUGGUACAUUUUUAUCCAAGUUUUUUUUUUUAAUGUUUUAUCUUGUUAAUGUCUGGGGUUUAUGUUUGGUAUGUUACUAUCCAGGUUGCUUUUUUUAUGAAACUAAUAUCCAGGUUUUAAAGUUUUGGUACAAUAACAUUAAGGUUCUUGAUGUUUUGGUACAUUCAUAUCCAGGUUUUUGAUGUUCUAGUAUGUUAAUAUCCAGGUUUUUGCUUUUUUAAUAGACUAAUAUCCAGGUUUUAAAGUCUUAGUACAGUAAUAUCAAGAUUCAUGAUGCUUUGUUAUGCUAAUAUCCAGGAUUUUCAUGUAUUGGUACACUACUAUCUAGGUUUUUUAUGCAUUUGUACAUUUAUGUCUAGGUUUUUCAUCUGUUGGUACACUUCUAUCCAGUGUCAUAGUAUAGUAUGUUGUUCAAAAAAUGUUAAUUAAAAAUGUUGAAUAAUGAGCUUAAAAGUCUGUAUCUCAGGAUAUUUUUCUCGCUGCAUAUAUUUUACCCACAGUCCCUUAUUGUCAAAACACUUCAGUCUGCUGCCAUAAAUAUCCAAUAUUUUGGGAGAAUGUUGUUUGUACAUCAAAUAAUCCUUUUCAAUUUGAAAAUCCCUUAUGUUCUGUUGAUCUGAACUACUUCUCUUACCCGUUUUCUAAAAUUUCUAAAACACAUGUUGGCUGAUUUUAAUAUAAUAUUAAGAGCACAUCACCCGUGAUCAGAUCAGUCGGUGUGUUUGCUGGAAGCCGGAAUGGAAAAAUGAAUCCUGGCGUCAACAGCAGCCACGGUGGAUCCGUGGAUUUCGUAUUUAUUCUGUCCAUCUGUCCCGAGCUUCGCUGACACAUCGACAAUCUGUAAAGCCUUUGCAGAACAGAUGACACCGACUGACUCAGCUCACAAACACAGAGGAAAGUUUUCACUUGUCUUCGUCCAGGGAAAAGUUUUUUUCUUUCAGUUUUCAGUGUUCCAGGUUUUUGAGGCUUUGGUGGGUUAGUAGCCAGGUUUUUGACAUUUUGAUAUGUGAAUCUGUGGGCUUUCAACUUUUUUUGGCAUGUUCAUAUCCAGGUUUUUGACAUUUUGGUGUUCUAAUACCCAUUUUUUUAAGGUUUUUAUAUGGCGUUUUUUUGGACAAAAUUCAUGAUGAUUUUUUUUCAAAGAAAACCUUACCAUAGUGUUUUUCACAGCCUACCUUACAUUA